UAAUGCAUAGGAAUCUACCUAGUAGUAUGGGAUAGCCACUAGAAAUGGUGGGUAAUACUGUAUAAUCCCUGCGGGGGAAAGAUUUAUCGCUAUUAGAUGAGCCUAUGUUAGAUUAGCUAGUUGGUAGGGUAAAGGCCUACCAAGGCGAUGAUCUAUAGCUGGUCUGAGAGGAUGAUCAGCCACACUGGAACUGAGAUACGGUCCAGACUCCUACGGGAGGCAGCAGUGGGGAAUAUUGGACAAUGGGCGCAAGCCUGAUCCAGCUAUGCCGCGUGAGUGAGGAAGGCCUUAGGGUUGUAAAACUCUUUCAGUAGGGAA
rnacentral:rRNA from 1 species